rnacentral:rRNA from 1 species
GUGAGGAAUAUUCCGCAAUGGGGGAAACCCUGACGGAGCAAUGCCGCGUGCAGGAUGAAGGCCCUCGGGUCGUAAACUGCUUUUAUAUGAGAAGAAUAUGACGGUAACAUAUGAAUAAGGGACGGCUAACUACGUGCCAGCAGCCGCGGUCAUACGUAGGUCCCAAGCGUUAUCCGGAGUGACUGGGCGUAAAGAGUUGCGUAGGCGGCUCGUUAAGCGUGAAAUGAAAUUUAUCGGCUCAACCGGUAAACUAUUUCGCGAACUGACGGGCUCGAGAGUAUGAGAGGUUACUGGAAUUUCUAGUGUAGCAGUGAAAUGCGUAGAUAUUAGAAAGAACACCAACGGCGUAGGCAGGUAACUGGCAUACAUCUGACGCUGAGGCACGAAAGCGUGGGGAGCGAACCGGAUUAGAAACCCUAGUAGUCC